CUUGUCUAAAUAGAUAUCGAAAUACAAAAGUAAUUUGCUUAAGCGUUCGAGCGCAGCAUACAACAGUUCUCACAAGUACUCUUGCUUAAUAUCAGCAAUAUAUAGUAACGAAAACUGUACCUCGCUAGAACUCGAUGUGUUUCUUUGUAUGUUUUUUGUAAAUUGGUGCGCUACAUCUACUUGAACUUUGAGAGGGGCGGCAACCAGUAAAAAAAAAAACCAAAACUGUUGUGUCUGUGUUUUUUUCAUGUCGGAGCUUCGAACCUGACAGCUUUUACCUUGUCAACAAAAGCUUGUGUGAACUGAGAACCAUGCCAAACAUUAACGAGGCAGCUGUUGACUCUACCCGCUUCUCCAAAUCACUUGGUCUCGACAGUGACCUCGCCGACUAGCAGUGACCUCAGAUCCAGGGGCAGCCACUCUCCGAGAACUACAAUGGCUCUGUGUUAUCUGCGCUUUGUUGCGGUGCGUCUGGCAAAACAAUUUCUCUUGGAAUACAUGCACAGUACUUCCCUCAGCGCCAGUUGACGGAUAAGGAUAAGGCAGAUUGUAUUUGAUGAACAUAUCAAUCUGGUGUUAGCUAUGCACCUUGAACCAGGUUAACUGCCUCUUUUGGACUUGAGAUAACGGUAAAUGUAGCGCUUAAAGCUGGGUAAUUGUUUGCCCGGUCUCAGCUAGCAAACUUCCUCUUCACAAAGACAUUGAGUAUCGAAAUAAACUGAUUCUUCAUGACUGUUCACUCGGAUAUUUUACGUGUGGUAAAACAUGGCUUUACUGAAAUGUCGCUAGCUUCUUUCAUAAAAUCCUUAAGAGAAUGAGAAUGAGAGCCGGGCACUGAUGGCGUUGAGGUAUCAGCAUAAAUUUACAUUAUAAUUCAAUCACUCGUGAACUACAACUUAACAUGUAUUAAUCUCAGAUUACUGUAAGAAGCCGCAAAAGAAAGAAGUAUUGAAAUCUAUGUUUGUGUGUGUGUGUGAGAGAGUGUGUUUGAGAGAGAGAGAGUG